GUGGACAUCAUGGUGUCCAGCCUGCUUCCUUGUCACAGCUGUUUUAAAGACUGCGGUAGAAUUGGGACCUAAAGACCUCCUUUUCGAUCACUGCAUCCUCUCCUGUCCAUCAGUGGACUUGGUGACAUGUCUCUUGGACUUUUGACUCAACCUUGCCUCAAACAGAAGCACCAUCCCCCGCCUGGCAGCAUCUCUGGUGGCCUGCGCACAGCUGAGCACCUCAGAGUUUAACAGGCAGCACUCCCGCCGCACUGGUGGAAGGCCUUCCAGAGGCUCUGCAGAGGCAGUUUGAGUGUGAAGACUCUGCUGUGCGAGGGGCGAGCAGCUGCUGCAUGGCCCGCUGUUCCAGUGAUCACUGGUGCUGGCAGCUCUUGCUUGUGACCUGGAACUAGACGCUCUCCCUUGCUGCACGGAGAUGCACAGGCGGGCCUGGUUCCGAAGGUACCACCUGGCCACCCGUGUCACUGUGGCCCUGGACCAGAGAGCACCUCUGCCCUGCCUGUUUCUCAGCGAGGUGGCUAAGAAAAUUCCUGAGUUAAUGGCAGACAGCGAAAACAUGGAUGUCCUCCAUGAGAGGCUCGGCGUUUUUAAAAGAGCAAGUUGAGCAGCUUGUGCAGUGGACAAACAGGUGACCGGAUGACGGGACUCUUUCUGCUGGAGGCAGUGGGACAAUUUAUGGUUGGGGCCGUAACCAUAGGGGUCAGCGCGGGGGCAUCGAAGGCGCCAAAGUGAAAGCCCCCGCUCCGUGUAGAGCCCUCGCGGCUCUCAGCCCCGUGCAGCUCAUCAGGGAGAGCAGACGCUCUUCGCAGGGGCAGCUGCCGGGAAGACUCUGCCAUCAGCAGGUGGUGGAAAGAAGCCGCACCCCCGUUGCUGAACUGUUUGACAAUGCCGAUCAUCAGAUUGAAACUUAUGAAAGCCAAGGUUUGCCAUAUCCUCCUCCUGCCCUGGCAACUGCGGAAGCACGUGUUAAGGUGGGGCUUGUGUCAUCUUUGUUUCCUGAGUUGUGGCAAUGAACAAAGCCACUCCUAGCUCAUGUUAGAGCAAGAGUGAGAUCAAACUUCCCAGGGUUAAGCCACUCAGAUUUGAGGGUGGUUUGUUCCAGGAGCCCAUCCUGAAUGAUCCAACUUCUGAAAUACCGGCUCUGGGUAAGUCAGAUGCAUGGGACCCUCCCCAGUCCUUGCUGAUUUUGCUAAUUGUGGGUUGGUGGUUUAAAAAUAUGUCCCCAGAUUCUUUUACACACAUCCUUUCAAAAAGAGAGCACAAUUUUCCUCCCCAGAGUGUGUGCCGGACACUUAGUGACUUGCUUCUAACAAAUUAGAACAAGGCUAAUGCCAGGGUAAGACCACCGAGACUAUGUGAUAAAAGGCUUUGGGCUUCCUCCUUGUCCUCUCUCUGGUUCUGUUACCAAGUCCAAACUGGUUCUGCUCACUGCACAACAGGCCAAUAAAUCAGGAGAUGAGGUGUUGGCGCAAGGAAUGAUAGCUGUAUUCAGAAAGCCAGCAAACUGAGAAGAUGGCAAACUAAUGCCCUGGAGAACCACCUUGCUCAAGUCAGAAUUCAAGCUCCUUUUUUUUUUUUUAAAUUUUUUUAUUUAUUUAAUUUUUCAGUUGAGGGGGCAAAGGUAAUAAGUUUACACAUCUGUUUAUUUAAUGAAAGUACUGGGGAUUGAACCCAGGACCUUGUGCAUGCUACGCAUGCACUCUACCACUGAGCUAUACCCUCUACCCCCUCAAGCUCCUUUUAUACUAAGGGGGUGGGGGCGUGGUUGGUUGUUGCAAACUUCUUGGUGUAGGAAUUCUAUGUUCUUGGAAUCCUUUGUUCUUGCAACUGUCUACGUGGGUCAGGUAAUGCUGUCCCUGUAAAACCUCUGACAAAACAAACAUUUUUUUAUUCUACAACAUGUUAUCUUUAUAUGAAUGGAAAAGUGUUAAUAUCCUUAAAGGUUAGAGCCUUAAGAAUAGACUAUGCUGUAUAUUUCAGGCUAUAGGUAACAUUCUUUCACAAAAGGUGUAGAACCAAGAAGGCAAAGCCCAAGAAACAGAGCACAGGUUAAAGCCAAAGGAACAGAUCUAAUAGGGAGUCUGAUUUGUUCUUUUCUAUUACAGUUCAUUUGCUCUGGAGAAAGCCAUUGGCUUAUAAUGAAGACAGCCAAGCAUCUCAGCGAGCUCCCCUGCUGAGCAACUGAGGCCUCCUGCCAACAUCCGUGUAGGGGAGCCAGCUUGGAAAUGGACCCCAGUCUGAAUGUCACAUGACUGAAGGCUUCACCAGCAUCUUUACUGCAGCCUGAAGAGAGACUGUGAGCUAAGCCAUUUCCCAAUUCCUGGCCCAAAGAUACUGUGAGCUGAUAAACGCAUGUUAUUUAAGGACUACGUAUUGGGGGAAAUCUGUCACAUAGCAAUAGGAAGAAGUUUCUCAGAACAGGAAGUAGAUUAUCUUUUGGACCAAGAAAAUGGAUGAUUGGUUAAGCUCCAGUGAAAUGCAAAAUAGUGUUUCAAGCCAAUGGCGAGUCUCAAAAAAGACAAACCAGCACAGGAUCAGAGGUGAGGAGGCCUGGAUGUGGUACAAGCCUAGUUCUCAACUACAGCUGGAGACACAAGAGACAUGUGCAGUAAAUGAAAAAUAAAAGAUGAAAUUUAAAUGGUGAAGACUGUCACAUUGACUCAGCCUAUCAGCAGAAGGGCUACAUUCUAAGCUUGAGCAAGAUCACCCAAGCCUGUGGUUUUAUUCCCAGAGAGCUGGCUGCUUGGAAAACAGAGGCUGGGGCAGGACAGAGAAGGCAGCAGUCCCGCCUCCCUCUCAGAGCACUGUGGACUUUGGAGGAGGAUGGACUAGUGACCCCUGGGGUUUAUUCUCAUCUAAGAUUCCCCACUUCUGAGACUCAUCCAGGUCUUAGGGGUUUUCUGUGCUGUUACUUCUACCAACAACUGUUAUUUACUGAGCCACUUACCAUGGCCAGUAUACUGACUGCUCCAAAUGCAUAAUCUUAUUUAAUCUUCAUGGUAACUGAAUAAAGGGAGACAUUACUAUCUCAUCUUUCAAAUGAGAAGCCAGAGCUCCAGAAGUUUCAGGAACUCACCCGGGUAGCAGGGCUUAGGUGAGGCAGGGCCAGGGCUGAGCCCACUCUCCACGGAUGAAGUCUGCCCUCCUCCUUGUGCUAACAGAUGAUCUGUAGUGGAUACUCACCCCACCCCCACGCUGCCCCUUUCCCUGUGACUCAGCCUGUCUCCCCUUUGUGGAAGCAGGGGAAUUUUGCAGAACUCCAAGCACUUCCCAUUGGGACCACUCGGAGGGAGGACCUUUGAUCUCUAAGCCAGAGCCGCUCUUGGGUGCAGGUCUCAGGACCUCUGGGACCUUCCCCCUUUCUGGAAACUGGAGAUCUGCUCAACUGCUGUGCCGGUGACCUUUACUGAUUCUCCCCAAACACACAGUUCUCGGGGCCGGGGAAGUGCUGCUGAGUCUGAGUUGUUCCCUGGACUCCUGGACCUGAUGGCCUGGGCUGGCUCAGCUUCCCGACUGUGUGCACCCUGGAGAGCAAAACUGUGCCCCUGGGGGCAGGGGAGGCUCCGUUUAGGUCCAGCUGGGCAGUGGGAACUGAGAAAUCACUGCCUUCCGAGAUUGGGGGAGUUCUGAGAGCUGCUUCCAUGUAAGUGACAGGGCCCGGCAGAGGAUGCAUUUCUGGUACACUCCUCUGUGACUUCAGUGGAUGUUCUGAAACAUGAGGCCAAAGACUGGGCAAUGAAGUGAUCCCCAAGGAGAGCACAGCCUAGAAUGUCUUCCUGCGUCCACAGAAGGAAUCUGUGACCAAGGCUGGGGGAAGGACCAAGACCGGACCCUGGGCUGGGAAGUGCAAAGCCUCACUGUGAUUCGUCAGCAAUGAAGGAGCCUUUACAGCUGUGCUUGCUGGAAGCCGCCUGGUGGUAGCCCCGGUCGUCGGCAGGGAAGGGCUGGCUCCUGCUGCCUCGCCCCUCCCACCCAGAGGGGUACAAUUUCUCUGGCUGUACUGAGGCCCCCUUUGCUCCUGCCCCCUCCGUCUGCACACUCUUGCCCCUCUGCCUUUGGUCUAGGAAUCCCCUUCAUUCUCCUCACAGAAGGAGUCUCUGGUGGACGCAGACGCUUUGAAGUCACAUGCUACUUAAGCUCAAGAGACGCAGGUGGACAGAAAUCAGUCCCCAUAUUUGGUACUGUAGUAUAGAUACAUUUGUAUCUAUUGUUCUUUUCAGAUUUUUUUUUAGUAUCCACUAAUUACAGCACACUCCUAUUGGGGAACAUUACAAGUGUAGGGUUGGGGCCGAGGAUGGGACAGAGGUGAAAGGGACGGCAGAAGUAGGGAGAGGGUUUCUCUUGUGCAGUUUAGGGACUGAAGUAGGAAACUGAGCCCAGCAGGGUCCACUCUGAGAUGCCCCCUUGCUUCGGGCAGGAGGGAGCAAACUCUCUUGUCAGAAGAACAAAAGAGAAAAAGAAAGGAAGAAAGAAAGAGAAAGGAAGGAAGGAAGAAACAAAAAGGAACAAGAAGGAAGAAGGAAAGAAAGAGAAAGGAAGGAAGGAAAGAGUGGGAGGGAGAAGUUAGCAUGUAAUUAUCUAGAACAAGACAAAAGCAAAAUAUAAACAGGUUGAAACUAAAGGAAUGGAAAAAACUGACAAUUUUUAGUAAAUAAAACAUAACAAAUGGGGGGAAGAUACAUAGAAAUUGUUAAGAUAGUCAUUUCUUAUAAUAAUUAAAAGUAUGAAAAACAUUGUCAGUAGCCUCUUUAUUUCCUGUCAUAUGUAUGUGUGUGUGUGUGUGUCAAUUUUAAUGAAGGUUGAAAAAACACAUUCACUUUCUGCCUCAGAACCCCCAUCUCUGUUCCCAUCAGCUCAAAGCUCCCUCAGACCUGGCUCCUGUCCUGGCAGGAAGGUGAGAAAAGAGAGGACCCACUGUGCUGGGCACAGCAGGAGACCUGGGACGUAUGCUCCAGGUGUGUAGACUCCAGAGAACUUUCUCGUAAGCCGCAGUUACAUUUUUGUGUAGGUUUCCUGCAGUUUCCCACUGUUAAGUUGCACAGGGUCUCUCUUCUCGUGGGCUUCUCGGUGCCCUGUCAUGUCUCAUUCUCACAGGCUGAGCUUGUGUUCCAAUUGCAGAGCUGAGUGGACCAGAGGACUUGGCUUGUGCGGACGGUGUGACGUAUUUGUUUCUGUUCCAUGGGAGAGAGAGGCUUUGUCAUGACACUUCAAAAAUAAGGAGCCCAUCUGACAUACAUCUCAAAAAUGUUCUCCUAGAACAGUCUACUCAAGCAAUAGAAAUAAAAGCAAGAAUAAACAAAUGGGACCUAAUUAAACUUACAAGCUUCUACACAGCAAAGGAAACCAAAAGUAAAACAAAAAGACAACCUAUGGAAUGGGAGAAAAUUUUUAGAAAUGAAACCGACAAAGGUUUGAUCUCCAGAAUAUAUAAGCAGCUCAUACAACUUAAUAAGAAACAACCAAACAACCCAAUCCCAAAAUGGGCAAAAGACCUAAACAAGCAAUUCUCCAAGGAAGACAUACAAA